AAGGUAGCGAAAUUCCUUGUCGGGUAAGUUCCGACCUGCACGAAUGGCGUAACGACUUCCCCGCUGUCUCCAAUGCAGACUCAGCGAAAUCGAAUUCCCCGUGAAGAUGCGGGGUUCCCGCGGUCAGACGGAAAGACCCCGUGCACCUUUACUACAGCUUCAGACUGGCAUUAGGCCUGUCAUGUGCAGGAUAGGUGGUAGGCAGUGAAACCCGGGCGCCAGCUCGGUGGAGCCUCCCUUGAGAUACCACCCUUGAUGCGCUUGAUGUCUAACCGCGGACCGUUAUCCGGUUCCGGGACCCUCUGUGGCGGGUAGUUUGACUGGGGCGGUCGCCUCCCAAAGAGUAACGGAGGCGCGCGAUGGUGGGCUCAGACCGGUCGGAAAUCGGUCGUCGAGUGCAAUGGCAUAAGCCUGCCUGACUGCGAGACUGACAAGUCGAGCAGAGACGAAAGUCGGUCAUAGUGAUCCGGUGGUCCCGCGUGGAAGGGCCAUCGCUCAACGGAUAAAAGGUACGCCGGGGAUAACAGGCUGAUGGUGCCCAAGAGUCCAUAUCGACGGCACCGUUUGGCACCUCGAUGUCGGCUCAUCUCAUCCUGGGGCUGGAGCAGGUCCCAAGGGUACGGCUGUUCGCCGUUUAAAGAGGUACGUGAGCUGGGUUUAGAACGUCGUGAGACAGUUCGGUCCCUAUCUGCCGUGGGUGUACGAGACUUGAGAGGAGCUGCCCCUAGUACGAGAGGACCGGGGUGGACGGACCACUGGUGGACCUGUUGUGGCGCCAGCCGCAGUGCAGGGUAGCUAUGUCCGGACAGGAUAACCGCUGAAGGCAUCUAAGCGGGAAGCCCCCCUCAAAACAAGGUCUCGCUUGAGGAACGUGGGAGACCACCACGUCGAUAGGCCGGAGAUGUAAGCGCAGCGAUGCGCUCAGUUGACCGGUACUAAUCCUCCGAUUGGCUUGAUCCG
rnacentral:rRNA from 1 species